UGACCUGAGCUGAAGUCAGAUGCUUAACCAACUGAGCCACCCAGACAAGGAGAGGAGAUUGAGAGGAGCCAAGAGUGGAGCACAGAUGCCAACAGGUGCCAAGAAGAAACACCGGCACCCUGUCCCCUACGGGGCAAAACCAAGGGAGGUCAUUGCAAUAUCUGGAUUUACUUAGAUGAAUCUCAAGUUUGGAAUAGCACCCAGCCAAUAGGACACCUGGGUAACAAGGACUGAGUGUGUAUGUCUAAGAGGAGAGAGUUUGGAGAACAGAUCAUCAGCCACAAAGGUAAGUUUUAAAUAAUCCACUUUCUUUUAACUAACUGUGUUCAGGCUUGAAGCUAAAGGAGAUGAGCCAA